rnacentral:rRNA from 1 species
CCUACGAGGAGCAGCAGUCGAGAAUCAUUCACAAUGGGCGAAACCCUGAUGGUGCGACGCCGCGUGGGGGAAUGAAGGUCUUCGGAUUGUAAACCCCUGUCAUGUGGGAGCAAAUUAAAAAGAUAGUACCACAAGAGGAAGAUACGGCUAACUCUGUGCACGCAGCCGCGGUAAUACAGAGGUCUCAAGCGUUGUUCGGAAUCACUGGGCGUAAAGCGUGCGUGGGCUGUUUCGUCAGUCGUUGGUGAAAGGCGCGGGCUCAACCCGCGGACGGCACAUGAUACUGGGAGACUAGAGUAAUGGAGGGGGAACCGGAAUUCUCGGUGUAGCAGUGAAAUGCGCAGAUAUCGAGAGGAACACUCGUGGCGAAGGCGGGUUCCUGGACAUUAACUGACGCUGAGGCACGAAGGCCAGGGGAGCGAAAGGGAUUAGAUACCCUAGUAGUC